GCUCACCAAGGCGUCGACGGGUAGCCGGCCUGAGAGGGUGACCGGCCACACUGGGACUGAGACACGGCCCAGACUCCUACGGGAGGCAGCAGUGGGGAAUAUUGCACAAUGGGCGGAAGCCUGAUGCAGCAACGCCGCGUGAGGGAUGACGGCCUUCGGGUUGUAAACCUCUUUUAGCAAGGAAGWAAGCGAAAGUGACGGUACUUGCAGAAAAAGCGCCGGCUAACUACGUGCCAGCAGCCGCGGUAAUACGUAGGGCGCAAGCGUUAUCCGGAAUUAUUGGGCGUAAAGAGCUCGUAGGCGGUUUGUCGCGUCUGCUGUGAAAACCCGAGGCUCAACCUCGGGCCUGCAGUGGGUACGGGCAGACUAGAGUGCGGUAGGGGAGAUUGGAAUUCCUGGUGUAGCGGUGGAAUGCGCAGAUAUCAGGAGGAACACCGAUGGCGAAGGCAGAUCUCUGGGCCGUAACUGACGCUGAGGAGCGAAAGGGUGGGGAGCAAACAGGCUUAGAUACCCUGGUAGUCCACCCCGUAAACGUUGGGAACUAGUUGUGGGGUCCAUUCCACGGAUUCCGUGACGCAGCUAACGCAUUAAGUUCCCCGCCUGGGGGAGUACGGCGCAGGCUAAACUCAAAGGAAUGACGGGACCCGCACAGCGGCGGAGCAUGCGAUAUCGAUGCACGCGAGAUCUUACAGGCUGACAUACACGAGACGCUGCAGAAUGUAGACUCU
rnacentral:rRNA from 1 species